UACAGAGGUCCCAAGCGUUGUUCGGAUUCACUGGGCGUAAAGGGUGCGUAGGUGGUUGGGUAAGUCUGGUGUGAAAUCUCCGAGCCUAACUCGGAAACUGCAUUGGAUACUAUUCAACUAGAGGGUUGGAGGGGGGACUGGAAUACUUGGUGUAGCAGUGAAAUGCGUAGAUAUCAAGUGGAACACCAGUGGCGAAGGCGAGUCCCUGGACAACUCCUGACACUGAGGCACGAAAGCUAGGGGAGCAAACAGG
rnacentral:rRNA from 1 species